CACGUAGGGGGCGAGCGUUGUCCGGAUUUAUUGGGCGUAAAGAGCUCGUAGGCGGCUCACUAAGUCGGGUGUGAAAUUUCGAGGCUCAACCUCGAAACGCCACCCGAUACUGGUGUGGCUAGAGUCCGGUAGGGGAGCGUGGAAUUCCUGGUGUAGCGGUGAAAUGCGCAGAUAUCAGGAGGAACACCAGCGGCGAAGGCGGCGCUCUGGGCCGGUACUGACGCUGAGGAGCGAAAGCGUGGGGAGCGAACAGG
rnacentral:rRNA from 1 species